rnacentral:rRNA from 1 species
UACGUAGGGUGCGAGCGUUAAUCGGAAUUACUGGGCGUAAAGCGUGCGCAGGCGGUUUUGUAAGCCAGAUGUGAAAUCCCCGGGCUUAACCUGGGAAUGGCAUUUGGGACUGCAAGGCUGGAGUGCGGCAGAGGAGACUGGAAUUCCUGGUGUAGCAGUGAAAUGCGUAGAUAUCAGGAGGAAUACCGAUGGCGAAGGCAGGUCUCUGGGCUGACACUGACGCUCAUGCACGAAAGCGUGGGGAGCAAACGGG